UGCUCACAUGUACAAGACUGACAGGGCCAAAUACGAAACCACUGCUCGUAGCUGGACUCAGAAAUAUGCAAUGGGAUGAUGCGCAAAAUUGUCUCCAGGCAUGUCUGGGACUUUUGUAACAGCAAUGUCUUAUUGUGCUUGGGGUGAAUGAAUAAAUUCCGUGAAAGAACUUAGUUACUUCUUAAUCUCCCUUCAUGAGGGUUGUUAAGGGAACAGCUGUUUUCAAUUUGUGAAUAUUUAUUUGAUGACUAGUAAGGGAGAAACUGCAAUGUAAUUCUACUUUGUUUGCCAGUUUGACAUGCGCCUUUCCCCAAAUUUGUCUGACAAAUAUAGUUUACAUCUUUGAAUUCUGGGAUUGA
rnacentral:misc_RNA from 1 species